UACGGGGGGGGCAAGCGUUGUUCGGAAUUACUGGGCGUAAAGGGCUCGUAGGCGGCCCACUAAGUCAGACGUGAAAUCCCUCGGCUUAACCGGGGAACUGCGUCUGAUACUGGAGGGCUUGAGUUCGGGAGAGGGAUGCGGAAUUCCAGGUGUAGCGGUGAAAUGCGUAGAUAUCGGGAGGAAUACCGAUGGCGAAGGCAGGUCUCUGGGCUGACACUGACGCUCAUGCACGAAAGCGUGGGGAGCAAACAGG
rnacentral:rRNA from 1 species